rnacentral:rRNA from 1 species
GAUGAACGCUGGCGGCGUGCCUAAUACAUGCAAGUCGAGCGAACAGACGAGGAGCUUGCUCCUCUGACGUUAGCGGCGGACGGGUGAGUAACACGUGGAUAACCUACCUAUAAGACUGGGAUAACUUCGGGAAACCGGAGCUAAUACCGGAUAAUAUAUUGAACCGCAUGGUUCAAUAGUGAAAGACGGUUUUGCUGUCACUUAUAGAUGGAUCCGCGCCGCAUUAGCUAGUUGGUAAGGUAACGGCUUACCAAGGCAACGAUGCGUAGCCGACCUGAGAGGGGGAUAGGCCACACUGGAACUGAGACACGGUCCAGAUUCCUACGGGAGGCAGCAGUAGGGAAUCUUCCGCAAUGGGCGAAAGCUUGACGAAGCAACGCCGCUGGAGUGAUGAAGGUCUUCGGAUCUUAAAACUCUGUUAUUAGGGAAGAACAAAUGUGUAAGUAACUAUGCACGUCUUGACGGUACCUAAUCAGAAAGCCACGGCUAACUACGUG